rnacentral:rRNA from 1 species
AUGCAUUCAAAGAGUGCGUAACAGCUCACUGGUCGAGUGGACAUGCGCCGACAAUACACGGGGCUAAGCUGGACACCGAAGCGGCGGGAUUUUAUCUAUAUAGAAUCGGUAGGGGAGCUUCCCAUGGGCGGUGAAGCCGCCGGGCGACCGGCGGUGGAGCGCAUGGGAGUGAGAAUGCUGGCAUGAGUAGCGAGAGACGAGAGAGUAACUCGUCCGCCGUGAACCCGAGGUUUCCUGGGCAAGGCUAAUCCUCCCAGGGUCAGUCGGGGGCUAAGGCGAGGCCGGAAGGCGUAGCCGACGCGCAGCAGGCAGACAUUCCUGCACCGCGCACGCGGCGCUACGACCGACGGGGCGACGGAUGGGGGUGGCUCGGCGGGGUUCUGGACGUCCCCGUGAUGGAGCGCGGCCCGCGGACCAGGGAAAUCCGGUCCGCACGAGGGCGAGGCUCCGGACGAAGCGAUCAAGCGAAGCGAGUGAGCCCGAGGUCCCUAGAAAAACCCCUAGGCAGGCGCGUGCGCGCCCGUACCGCAAACCGACACAGGUGGGUGGGUAGAACAUACCGAGGCGAUCGGGUCAACCAUGGUCAAGGAACUCGGCACAAUGGCCCCGUAACUUCGGGAGAAGGGGUGCCCGCGCGUACGUGAACGGACUUGCUCCGGGAGCGGAGGCGGGCCGCAGUGGAGAGGCCCAAGCGACUGUUUACCAAAAACACAGGACUCUGCAGAAGCCGCAAGGCGACGUAUAGGGUCUGACGCCUGCCCGGUGCCGGAAGGUCACGCGGAGGAGUUAGCCGCAAGGCGAAGCCCCGAAGCCAAGCCCCGGUAAACGGCGGCCGUAACUAUAACGGUCCUAAGGUAGCGAAAUUCCUUGUCGGGUAAGUUCCGACCUGCACGAAAGGCGCAACGACUUGGGCGCUGUCUCGACCAUGGACCCGGUGAAAUUGCACUGGUCGUGAAGAUGCGACUUACCCGCGGAAGGACGGAAAGACCCCGUGAACCUUCACUGCAGCUUGGCAUUGGCCGCUGGUCCCGCGUGUAGAGGAUAGGCAGGAGGCACAGAUCCGGAGGCGCCAGCCCCCGGGGAGCCGCCCUUGGAAUACUGCCCUCGCGCGACCGGCGUCCUAACCCGAGGCCGUCAACCGGCUCGGGGACCGUGCCAGGCGGGCAGUUUGACUGGGGCGGUCGCCUCCUAAAGGGUAACGGAGGCGCGCGAAGGUCCGCUCGGGACGGUCGGCAACCGUCCUUUUGAAUGCAAGAGUACAAGCGGGCUUGACUGCGAGGCCCACAAGCCGAGCAGGUGCGAAAGCAGGCUCUAGUGAUCCGGCGGCCCCGAGUGGGUGGGCCGUCGCUCAACGGAUAAAAGGUACUCCGGGGAUAACAGGCUGAUCUUGCCCAAGAGUCCACAUCGACGGCAAGGUUUGGCACCUCGAUGUCGGCUCAUCGCAUCCUGGGGCUGGAGCAGGUCCCAAGGGUACGGCUGUUCGCCGUUUAAAGCGGUACGCGAGCUGGGUUCAGAACGUCGUGAGACAGUUCGGUCCCUAUCCUCCGUGGGCGCAGGAGAAUCGAUGGAGGCUGCCCCCAGUACGAGAGGACCGGGGUGGACGCACCUCCGGUGAACCGGUUGUCGACCAACGGCACGGCCGGGUAGCCGCGUGCGGCGCGGAUAACCGCUGAAGGCAUCUAAGCGGGAAGCCGUUCCAGGGAUUAGUUCUCCUUCCGGUAAGGGCCCAGGUAGACUACCUGGUCGAUAGACGGCAGGUGCAAGGGCGGCGACGCCCUCAGCCGAGCCGCACUAAUCGCCCGAGCUCUUCCGGA